rnacentral:tRNA from 1 species
CAAAUUAGAGCUUGGAAGUAAGCUUUUCAUUUACACUGAAGAUUUAAUCGUGCAACUCGGUUUGAUUUGA